rnacentral:rRNA from 1 species
AGUGAACGCUGGCGGUAGGCCUAACACAUGCAAGUCGAACGGCAGCACAGUAAGAUCUUGCUCUUACGGGUGGCGAGUGGCGGACGGGUGAGGAAUACAUCGGAAUCUACUUUUUCGUGGGUGAUAACGUAGGGAAACUUACGCUAAUACCGCAUACGACCUACGGGUGAAAGCAGGGGAUCUUCGGACCUUGCGCGAUUGAAUUAGCCGAUGUCGGAUUAGCUAGUUGGCGGGGUAAAGGCCCACCAAGGCGACGAUCCGUAGCUGGUCUGAGAGGAUGAUCAGCCACACUGGAACUGAGACACGGUCCAGACUCCUACGGGAGGCAGCAGUGGGGAAUAUUGGACAAUGGGCGCAAGCCUGAUCCAGCCAUACCGCGUGGGUGAAGAAGGCCUUCGGGUUGUAAAGCCCUUUUGUUGGGAAAGAAAAGCAGCAGGUUAAUACCCCGCUGUUCUGACGGUACCCAAAGAAUAAGCACCGGCUAACUUCGUG